rnacentral:rRNA from 1 species
UACGGAGGGUGCGAGCGUUGUUCGGAAUCACUGGGCGUAAAGGGCGUGUAGGCGGUCCGCUAAGUCUGAUGUGAAAGCCCGGGGCUCACCCCCGGAAGUGCAUUGGAAACUGGCGGACUCGAGUCCCGGAGAGGAGAGUGGAAUUCCUGGUGUAGCGGUGAAAUGCGUAGAUAUCAGGAGGAAUACCGGUGGCGAAAGCGACUCUCUGGACGGUAACUGACGCUGAGGCACGAAGGUCAGGGGAGCAAACGGG